rnacentral:rRNA from 1 species
UGGGGAAUUUUGGACAAUGGGCGAAAGCCUGAUCCAGCAAUGCCGCGUGUGUGAAGAAGGCCUUCGGGUUGUAAAGCACUUUUGUCCGGAAAGAAAUCCUUGGCUCUAAUACAGUCGGGGGAUGACGGUACCGGAAGAAUAAGCACCGGCUAACUACGUGCCAGCAGCCGCGGUAAUACGUAGGGUGCAAGCGUUAAUCGGAAUUACUGGGCGUAAAGCGUGCGCAGGCGGUUUGCUAAGACCGAUGUGAAAUCCCCGGGCUCAACCUGGGAACUGCAUUGGUGACUGGCAGGCUAGAGUAUGGCAGAGGGGGGUAGAAUUCCACGUGUAGCAGUGAAAUGCGUAGAGAUGUGGAGGAAUACCGAUGGCGAAGGCAGCCCCCUGGGCCAAUACUGACGCUCAUGCACGAAAGCGUGGGGAGCAAACAGGAUUAGAUACCCUGGUAGUCCACGCCCUAAAACGAUGUCAACUAGUUGUUGGGAUUCAUUUCCUAGUAACGUAGCUAACGCGUGAAGUUGACCGCCUGGGGAGUACGGUCGCAAGAUUAAAACUCAAAUGAAUUGACGGGGUCAUAGCUGUUUCCU